GUGUCAGCAGCCGCGGUAAUACCGGCAGCCCGAGUGAUGGCCGAUUUUAUUGGGCCUAAAGCGUCCGUAGCUGGCCGCGCAAGUCUAUCAGAAAAUCCACCCGCUCAACGGGUGGGCGUCCGGUAGAAACUGCGUGGCUUGGGACCGGAAGGCGCGACGGGUACGUCCGGGGUAGGAGUGAAAUCCCGUAAUCCUGGACGGACCGCCGAUGGCGAAAGCACGUCGCGAGGACGGAUCCGACAGUGAGGGACGAAAGCCAGGGUCUCGAACCGGAUUAGAAACCCCUGUAGUCC
rnacentral:rRNA from 1 species